GUUCUUAUAGUUGAAAUACAACGAUGGUUUUUCAAAUCA
rnacentral:tRNA from 1 species